UACGGGGGGGGCAAGCGUUGUUCGGAAUUACUGGGCGUAAAGGGUUCGUAGGUGGCCAACUAAGUCAGACGUGAAAUCCCUCAGCUUAACUGGGGAACUGCGUCCGAUACUGGAAGGCUUGAAUCCGGGAGAGGGAUGUAGAAUUCCAGGUGUAGCGGUGAAAUGCGUAGAUAUCUGGAGGAACACCGGUGGCGAAGGCGACAUCCUGGACCGAAACUGACACUGAGGCGCGAAAGCCAGGGGAGCAAACGGG
rnacentral:rRNA from 1 species